GGAGGUGUGGUUCAGCGGUGGAGUUCCUGCCCAGCAAGCACAAGGCCCUGAGUUCAAGUCUCAGUACUGCCA
rnacentral:tRNA from 1 species